rnacentral:lncRNA from 1 species
CUUAGAAAGCUUAAGAUCGUCCUAGAACACGAGAGGACCAUGUAUAUAAUUACUGAUCCGGCAGAUCGUCCUGGAACAUGAGAGGACCAUGUAUAUAAUUACUGAUCCAGCACCUGAAUUGCCUCCUGCUAAUGCACGGGUAGCAGUCCGUGACGCUUACCAGAAAUGGACGAGUGAUCGAAUCACUGUCUGGUGCAUUAUGCUAGCGGCAAUGAGCGACGAAUUCUCGCGGAGAUUCGAGAGUGCUCAGUCGAACGAGAUCAUUCAAGUGUUGAAUGAAUCGUUUGGCGUCCCUGAUGACGAUAAAAGGUAUAGUACCAGUUGUUGUAUCUUCAACGCCAAACUCAGGGAAGGGGCCUCUGUUACGGACCAUGUACUGUACAUGAUCGAGUUGAUAGAGCGCCUGAGCAAACUCGGCUUUUCCCUGCAUGAACAAUUGGGAAAGGACGCGAUUUUGAAUUCCCUGCCUGAUUCCUACCGACCAUUCCUCACUCAUUAUAGAAUGACAAAGCAUGUACUCAACUUCCAUGGUCUUUUGGGGUUGUUGCAGAACUUUGAGAAAGAUAACCAGCUCAGAAAAAGGCCGGUUAAUGUGGUUGGUGGUGGGGCAGGACGUCGUCCCUUUGGGAAAGGAAAAAACAAAAAUAAAAUUAAAAAUAAAAAUAAAAGGAAGAAAAAGGUGCUAAGUGUCGGGAUAUCUUAUCAGAUGAUAAGAAAGCGGGCUGACCCUAGAAAGGCGGUGUGCUACCACUGUCAGAAAUCGGGACACUGGAAAAAGAACUGUCCUCUGUAUGUAGCCAUCCUUGAUC